rnacentral:rRNA from 1 species
AUACGGAGGGUGCAAGCGUUAAUCGGAAUUACUGGGCGUAAAGCGCGCGUAGGCGGUUUAGUCAGUCAGAUGUGAAAGCCCCGGGCUCAACCUGGGAACUGCAUUUGAUACUGCUGAACUAGAGUAUGGUAGAGGGAAGUGGAAUUCCGGGUGUAGCGGUGAAAUGCGUAGAUAUCCGGAGGAACACCAGUGGCGAAGGCGACUUCCUGGACCAAUACUGACGCUGAGGUGCGAAAGCGUGGGUAGCAAACAGGAUUAGAAACCCCAGUAGUAC